rnacentral:rRNA from 1 species
GACGAACGCUGGCGGCGUGCUUAACACAUGCAAGUCGAACGGAAAGGCCUGCUUUCCCUUGUGGAUUGCGGGUACUCGAGUGGCGAACGGGUGAGUAACACGUGAGUGGUCUGCCCCCAACUUGGGUAUAAGCCUGGGAAACUGGGUCUAAUUCCCGAUAGGACUGCAGGGUGGUGCCUGUGGUGGAAAACGAUUUUCUAGUGGUUGGGGAUGAGUUCGCGGCCUAUCAGCUUGUUGGUGGGGUAAUGGCCUACCAAGGCGGCGACGGGUAGCCGGCCUGAGAGGGUGGACGGCCACAUUGGGACUGAGAUACGGCCCAGACUCCUACGGGAGGCAGCAGUGUGGAAUAUUGCACAAUGGGCGGAAGCCUGAUGCAGCGACUCCGCGUGGGGGAUGACGGCCUUCGGGUUGUAAACUCCUUUCGACCGCGAGGAAGCCACCUGGUUGGAAGGGUGGUGACGGUAGUGGUAGAAGAAGCACCGGCUAACUACGUG